UAUUCUCAGUAACAUAACAUGAAUGUUGGUACCUGCAAUGAGGGUUUCUCAACCUUCCUAGCACCUAAGCAUGGCAAUGUGAAAAAGUUGUAGGUCAUAAAAUAGAAAUGGUAUAUUUAUUGUGUGUCCAGCAGAAAACUUUAAAAGUUCUGAUUCAGCUGGACAGAGCUCCCUUUCACCUGAAGCUUGGACAUGAUGGUUGGAGCUACAGCAGAUGUGAAUCCCAAAGUGACAUUGAGGAUAGAUGCCAUAAGCUGAGUGUAUGGAGGAGCCAAAAGAGGUGGUGUUGACAACGGUUGAAAGACAAGCUUUGGGCUGAGAUUGGCUGGGUUUGAUUUCUUGAGCAUCUGUGGAAUCAGAAAAAUAACAGCACUUGUCUUCUAGAAUUAACAAUUCUAAUGAAGUAACAAGUGUGAAGUGUGAAGCACAGUGCCUGUCACAUGGUGAGAGCCCCGUAAGUAGUAACAAUUAAUAAUAUGACUAAAAAUAAUUAACUCAAUUGGAAAUAUCCAGCAACUCUAGGGAUAUGAGAAUGUAUAUAGCCUUGAAAAUGAUUAAAAAUAUAUUAUCA
rnacentral:lncRNA from 13 species